rnacentral:rRNA from 1 species
CAGUGUGCUUACCUGCAGUCGAACGGUGAAGCAGAGCUUGCUCUGUGGAUCAGUGGCGAACGGGUGAGUAACACGUGAGCAACCUGCCCCGGACUCUGGGAUAACAGUUGGAAACAGCUGCUAAUACCGGAUACGAGCUGCGAAGGCAUCUUCAGCAGUUGGAAAGAAUUUCGGUCUGGGAUGGGCUCGCGGCCUAUCAGCUUGUUGGUGAGGUAAUGGCUCACCAAGGCGUCGACGGGUAGCCGGCCUGAGAGGGUGACCGGCCACACUGGGACUGAGACACGGCCCAGACUCCUACGGGAGGCAGCAGUGGGGAAUAUUGCACAAUGGGCGAAAGCCUGAUGCAGCAACGCCGCGUGAGGGAUGACGGCCUUCGGGUUGUAAACCUCUUUUAGCAGGGAAGAAGCGAAAGUGACGGUACCUGCAGAAAAAGCGCCGGCUAACUACGUGCCAGCAGCCGCGGUAAUACGUAGGGCGCAAGCGUUAUCCGGAAUUAUUGGGCGUAAAGAGCUCGUAGGCGGUUUGUCGCGUCUGCUGUGAAAUCCCGAGGCUCAACCUCGGGCCUGCAGUGGGUACGGGCAGACUAGAGUGCGGUAGGGGAGAUUGGAAUUCCUGGUGUAGCGGUGGAAUGCGCAGAUAUCAGGAGGAACACCGAUGGCGAAGGCAGAUCUCUGGGCCGUAACUGACGCUGAGGAGCGAAAGGGUGGGGAGCAAACAGGCUUAGAUACCCUGGUAGUCCACCCCGUAAACGUUGGGAACUAGUUGUGGGGUCCAUUCCACGGAUUCCGUGACGCAGCUAACGCAUUAAGUUCCCCGCCUGGGGAGUACGGCCGCAAGGCUAAAACUCAAAGGAAUUGACGGGGACCCGCACAAGCGGCGGAGCAUGCGGAUUAAUUCGAUGCAACGCGAAGAACCUUACCAAGGCUUGACAUAUAGAGGAAACGGCUGGAAACAGUCGCCCCGCAAGGUCUCUAUACAGGUGGUGCAUGGUUGUCGUCAGCUCGUGUCGUGAGAUGUUGGGUUAAGUCCCGCAACGAGCGCAACCCUCGUUCUAUGUUGCCAGCACGUAAUGGUGGGAACUCAUGGGAUACUGCCGGGGUCAACUCGGAGGAAGGUGGGGAUGACGUCAAAUCAUCAUGCCCCUUAUGUCUUGGGCUUCACGCAUGCUACAAUGGCCGGUACAAAGGGCUGCAAUACCGUGAGGUGGAGCGAAUCCCAAAAAGCCGGUCCCAGUUCGGAUUGAGGUCUGCAACUCGACCUCAUGAAGUCGGAGUCGCUAGUAAUCGCAGAUCAGCAACGCUGCGGUGAAUACGUUCCCGGGUCUUGUACACACCGCCCGUCAAGUCAUGAAAGUCGGUAACACCUGAAGCCGGUGGCCCAACCCUUGUGGAGGGAGCCGUCGAAAGG